GAAAUCUCCCAUUUAACCCAAAAAUGAUGCAUUUCCCUUUAAAAGUUACUCCAUUUAACCCAAAAAUCACGCAUUUUCUCUUUGAGAAUCCCCCAUUCAUCCCGAAAAUCACGCAUUUUCUCUUGGAAAAUCACCCUUUUAACUUGAAAAUCACUCAUUUUCUCUUCAAAAAUCCCUCAUUUCACCCUCACAAUCAAACGCUUUUGCUACAAGAAUCCCCCAUUUAACCUGAAAAUCACGCAUUUCCUCGACAAAAAGCUCACAUGUAAACCAAAAUCACACAUCUUCUCUUCGAAAAUCCACCAUUUAACCAGAAUGUCGUGCACUUUCUCUUGGAAAUCCCCCAUUUAACCCCCCAAAUCCUGCAUUUUCUCUUGGAAAAUCCCCCAUUUACCCCCAAAUCAUGGCAUUAUCUCUCCCAAAAUACCCGUUUAACCCCAAAAUCAGGCAUUUUCUCUUGGAAAAUCCCCAUUUUAACUCGAAGAUCACACAUUUUCUCGUGGAAAAUCCCCUCUUAGCCCCCAAAUCAUGCAUUUUCUCUUGGAAAAUCCCCCAUUUACCCCCCAAAUCAUGCAUUUUCUCUUGGAAAAUCCCCAUUUUAACUCGAAGAUCACACAUUUUCUCGUGGAAAAUCCCCUCUAGCCCCCAAAUCAUGCAUUUUCUCUUCAAAAAUACCCCCUUAACCCUAAAACCACACAUUUACUCUAGGAAAUCCCCCAUUUAACCUGAAAUCACGCUUUUCUCUUCAAAAAUCCCCCAGUUGAGCCCCAAAGCAAACACUUUCGCUACGAGAUCCCCCAUUUAACCCAAAAUCACGCAUUUCCUCUACAACAAUCUCACAUGUAAUGAAAUCAUGCAUUUUCUCUUCAAAAACCCCAUUUAACUCGAAAAAACGCAAUUUCGCUUCGGAAAUCCCCCAUGUCACCCAAUAAUGAUGCAUUUUCUCUUCAAGAAUCUCUGACCUAUCCAAAGUCACGCAUUUUUUUCAAAAUCCCCCAUUUAAUCAAAAACAUGCAUUUCUCUUGGAAAAAUACACAAUCAAAAAUCACCAUUUUCCUAAACGAAAACAAAAAAAAAUUCAAUGCAAAAUCAUGUAUUUCUCUUCGGAAUCCCCGCUUUAGCUG
rnacentral:lncRNA from 7 species